rnacentral:rRNA from 1 species
UACGUAGGGUGCGAGCGUUAAUCGGAAUUACUGGGCGUAAAGCGUGCGCAGGCGGUUCGUUGUGUCUGAUGUGAAAGCCCCGGGCUCAACUUGGGAAUGGCAUUGGAAACUGGCGAGCCAGAGUGUGGCAGAGGGGGGUGGAAUUCCGCGUGUAGCAGUGAAAUGCGUAGAGAUGCGGAGGAACACCGAUGGCGAAGGCAGCCCCCUGGGCUAGCACUGACGCUCAGGCACGAAAGCGUGGGGAGCAAACAGG